GAAAUGACAAUGAACGGAAGAGUAAAUGACAGGCUUGUCCAGAAAGUAAUCGCUGCUGUGAUGGUUACCCUGACUGUUGUUGAAACACAUCUGUGAGUCGUUUGGCUGAAUUUAUGAAGUAGGUUAAACCGGUCGGUCCGUUACCCCAAGGAGUUUAUAAACAAACUCGUUGAGUCAGUUACUGUGAAGUAAUUGAAAGCUUGAGGUGGAACCGCGCAAACACGCCCUCUUUAGUCACUAAGAUGACUAAAGAGGGCGUGUUUUUGUUUAUAAACUCCGUGAGUUUAUCGUCGUGAGGCGGUAGAAAAAUGAGGUGGCACCACGUUAACCAACGUCCUCUAA
rnacentral:ncRNA from 1 species